UGCUGAAUAGCACAGUUGGUAAGAGCAGGAGACUCUCAAUCUCAGGGCUCUGGGCUUGAGCCCCACAUGGGGCAA